AAUAUAUUAUUCAAUUAGUUUAUUCUAUCUAAUUCCGGGAGAUGACCUAGCUUUUCUGCAAUUUUUCUCUUUACAACUUCACUGAUUAUUUACCAGUUGCCACCAAUUAAUCCUGCAAUUUCUCUUUUUUUUUAUCUUUACAGUUUUGUUACUCUUCGGCUACGUACUAUGCAAUUGUUCAGCAUGCUUAUUCAUCAUUAUGAAACUAUUAAUUUUUUUUUUGUUUCCAUCGUAUUUAGUUGCAUUUCAUGUUUAUACAUCUUUAUUGAAUUUUAUGCAAAAUAGGUUAAUGUCUAUGAUGGAUAGCAAUGAAAACAUGGUUGAAGUUUAAAGUGUACUUCGUUGUAGUAGUUCUCAAGCUAUAAAGCCCUAUAAUACAGAUAGCUCCAAA
rnacentral:lncRNA from 1 species